AGGACUAACGCUGGCGGCGUGCCUAACACAUGCAAGUCGAACGAGGGGUAGCAAUACCCCUAGUGGCAGACGGGUGAGUAACACGUAGUCAACCUACCUCUUAAUGGGGGAUAACUAGCCGAAAGGUUAGCUAAUACCGCAUACGAUCGUCGAGUGGCAUCACACGACGAUGAAAGGAGCAAUCCGUUGAGAGAGGGGACUGCGUCCCAUUAGUUAGUUGGUGGGGUAAUGGCCUACCAAGACUCCGAUGGGUAGCUGGCUUGAGAGAGCGACCAGCCACACUGGAACUGAGACACGGUCCAGACUCCUACGGGAGGCAGCAGUGAGGAAUUUUUCCGCAAUGGGGGAAACCCUGACGGAGCGACGCCGCGUGUGGGAAGAAGGCCUUCGGGUCGUAACCACUGUCGAGGGGGACGAUAUUGACGGUACCCCUGGAGGAAGCCCCGGCUAACUACGUGCCAGCAGCCGC
rnacentral:rRNA from 1 species